ACGCUCGACACCUACGGGGGGCAGCAGUCGGGAAUAUUGCGCAAUGGAGGAAACUCUGACGCAGUGACGCCGCGUGCAGGAAGAAGGUUUUCGGAUUGUAAACUGCUUUAGACAGGGAAGAAAGAAAUGACAGUACCUGUAGAAUAAGCUCCGGCUAACUACGUGUCAGCAGCCGCGGUAAUCUGAGCGGGCUGGCAAGGC
rnacentral:rRNA from 1 species